UGUUUCUAAACCUGUGCUGUGGACUCCUGGAACUGCCCAGAUUGGAGAGGGAAUAGAAAACUCCUGGGGUGACCUUGAAGAUUCUGAGAAGGAAGAGGAGGAGGAAGGUGGCAUUGAUGAAACUGUCAUUCUUGAUGAUACAAAGAUGGACACGGGAGAAGUUUCUGAUAUUGGGAGCCAAGGUAGGUAAUGCUUUUAAUGUGUUCAGAGACAGCUACAAUUGAGAUAUUUAAACUACAGAUAAAUAUGUAGAGGGGUAUGGGGAUUAUAGAUCAUAUAUAGGGAUAUUUCCUGUUUUUGAAGGGGAUUAAACUAAAUUUAAAUUAAAUGAUUGAAGUUAAAGGAACUAUUAAUACUAGUUCUAAAAGAAUGUUUUUAUUUUUGUGAACUGGUGGUAUGCUUUGGCAUACUAGUGAUACUUUUAAUUGAACAAUUUUUAAAAAUUACACGUAGCCAGGUGUGGUGGCAUAUACUUUUAAUACCAGGACCAUGGAGACAGGCAAAAAAAAAAAA
rnacentral:lncRNA from 1 species